UCGCUAUGGGAUGGCCCCGCGGUGCAUNAGCUAGUUGGUAAGGCAACGGCUUACCAAGGCAAUGAUGCAUAGCCGAGUUGAGAGACUGAUCGGCCACAUUGGGACUGAGACACGGCCCAAACUCCUACGGGAGGCAGCAGUAAGGAAUCUUCCACAAUGGACGCAAGUCUGAUGGAGCAACGCCGCGUGAGUGAAGAAGGUUUUCGGAUCGUAAAGCUCUGUUGUUGGUGAAGAAGGAUAGAGGUAGUAACUGGCCUUUAUUUGACGGUAAUCAACCAGAAAGUCACGGCUAACUACGUGCCAGCAGCCGCGGUAAUACGUAGGUGGCAAGCGUUGUCCGGAUUUAUUGGGCGUAAAGCGAGCGCAGGCGGAAGAAUAAGUCUGAUGUGAAAGCCCUCGGCUUAACCGAGGAACUGCAUCGAAAACUGUUUUUCUUGAGUGCAGAAGAGGAGAGUGGAACUCCAUGUGUAGCGGUGGAAUGCGUAGAUAU
rnacentral:rRNA from 1 species